UCGAGGAUCUUCGGCAAUGGGCGAAAGCCUGACCGAGCGACGCCGCGUGCGGGAUGAAGGCCUUCGGGUUGUAAACCGCUGUCGUUGGGGAGGAAGUGCAGGGGGGUUCUCCCCUCUGUUUGACCUAUCCAAGGAGGAAGUACGGGCUACGUUCGUGCCAGCAGCCGCGGUAAGACGAACCGUACGAACGUUAUUCGGAAUUACUGGGCUUAAAGGGUGCGUAGGCGGCGCGGUAAGUUGGGUGUGAAA
rnacentral:rRNA from 1 species